rnacentral:lncRNA from 1 species
GGCAAUAUAUGAAAGUGCCUUUUUACUCCCAGCCUCAAUAAAAUAGGUUUUUUUUUUAACUUUGAUUUUUUUUUCCAAUUGUGUAGGUAAAAGAUGAUAUCUCACUGAGUUUUCAAUUUGCCUUUUCCUUGUUAGGAGUAAUACUAAGCAUCUUUUGAUAUGUUUAAUAAUUUGGGUGUUUAAGUUUUUUAUUAGGCGUCUGUUCAUUUCGCCUUUUCUUUUGAUUGGGCUCAUGGUCUUUUCCUUAUUGACUUCUUGCUAUUUAUACAUUAAUUACAUAAUCUUUUUUUCUGUAUAAGUUGGAAAGUAUUUUUCCCAAUUUGUCCUUCUUUUUAAUUACUUUGCUAAUGUGACUUAAUGAUCUGAUGUAACUGCAAGCUGUGGCAUAGCUUACAGAUGCAGCUCAGAUCAGUGUACCAUAACUGUGGUGUAGGCCUCAGCUGCAGCUCCAAUUCAGCCCUUAGCCUGAGAACUUCCAUAUGCUGCAGGUGUGACCAUAAAAUGAAAAACAAAAACAAAAAAAGAAUAACCAUGUUUAACCUUUGAGGAUGUUCACCUUUCCUCUUUCUAUAUUAUUGUUUGUUUUUGUUUGGUUGGUUGGUUGGUUUUUGUUUCUGUUGGAAGACCAUGUGCUAGCAAAGAGGCCGCAAGCUAAUGACAUUCAUUAUUGGUUCAAAUUCUAGUAUCCUAUGCAAUUCAGCACUAAAAUCUUAUUAAUUUUGAAAUACAAACUGGUAUAAAAUAGUGCAUAGGAGUCAGAACCCCUGAAUUUGUCUACUGUACUUAGAGAAUCUUUCUUUGCCAUGAUUUCCAUCUGUAUUCAGUGGAAAAAUAAGGUUGUUAUUUCAGAAACAGUUAAAAAGCAAAUAUGUACAUUUUUGGAAUGCUUUGAAUUUUGUAAAAAAUUAGUUCAUGAAGUUAUUAGCUGAUGAUAUUUUCAAAUCAGCUAAUAUGGCAUAUGAUUUUUUGGAGGGAGGCUUUACGUAGAAAGCUUGAUUUUCCCCACACUCCAGUUAAUAUUUGCUCACCUUCUUCUACAUUUUGCUUUCAUUUUCAAAAGGGGUCUUUUAAAAAGUAUCUGUUUUAGGUACUGGGGUUAUAACAGUAAACAAAACAGAUGAAUACAAAAAAAAAAUCCUUGUCUUCAAAGGGCUGAUAUUUGGAGUUCUCUCAGAAAACAAAUAUGCCAUAAAAUAUAAAGCAGACUUUUUGGAUAAAGUCUGUAAAUGUAAUAGAGAGCAAGAGAGGGGAGGGGAAUAGGAAGUGCUAGGAAAGGAGUGUAUCUUUGAUAACUAGAAUCAAAGAAUCAUACACAUUUAGCAGUGAACUUUAAAGGAUAUGUAAGGGUAUCUGAGAACUCCAAAUACACUGAAAUGACUUUCUGGAUCAUAGAAAGAACCAGAAUGAAACAUAUACAAGUAACCAAUCAUGUAUGAACAUAUUGGCUCUAUUCAAAGUCAAAUAGCAACUUAUGUCAAACUUUUCUACAAACAGCUCACAUGUGUUUAAGAUACUCACCUCUUUCAUCUAAGCCAGACUUACCAUCAGCUUUUAGGCAACUCUACAGAACUUGUUAUUGAGAAUGAAGAACCAAUGUCAGUGUGAUUAGGAGCUGGUGAGAUUCUUGUUUAAGUCAUGUGAUAUGAUUAAUCUUAAUAGAUGAAGCCAGAUAAUCUUAGCUGGAGUAAGACUCAUUCAUUAGAUGUGAGGACCUUUUCCUUACCCCUAAAUGUAGCAUCUCUUCUAUGGAACCCAAAGCUUCAGAGUCUGUAAUGUAUUACAGUACUCUACUGCAAUUAUAAUGCUUCUAAACUGUUUACUGAACUUUCUUCAUACUUGGAUUACUGACAGGGUGAUGUUCUUUGGUUAGCACUCAAGUUCUCCUGUGAUCUAACCCAAAUUUGCAUAAAAUUUUCCUAUUUUAUUUCUUGAUAUUCCCUUUUACAAACUAAAUGACUUGCUUUUUCCAAUGCAUGAUAAUCUCUUUUUUUUAUGCAGUUUACACUGCUUGAAAUGAUUUCCCUUCCCUUUCUAUACUUUGAAAUCUCAUCUAUCCUUUAACAGUUUAAUGGAUUCUCCAUCUGGAAUCUCCUUCUUUAGUCAUUUCUUCAAGUCAUUACUCAUUUUACCUAGCUAGAAAUCUAUUCUUUAUUUCUCUGUCUAUCUAUUGAUUAUCUAUUUAUCCAUCAUCUAUAUACCCAUUCCCUAAGGUACUUGGUAUUUAUUAUAUACUGAAUAAGUGGAUGAAUGGUAAAAUGGGAGGAUAACAGACAUUAUAUGGGGAUAUGAACAACCAAUAAAGUAAAAGUGGUCUUGAGUAGAUUCUAUAGUCUGCUUUUGACAAAAUAUUAAAUCCAAUGUAAAUGUGCCUUGUUUGACUUGGUCUAGAACCUGGGAGGCUGUCUGGUGGCAUCCCAGGCUGCUGUCAUAUGUGAGAUAAUCUGGAACAAGCUUUCCUUUUAGAAUUUAAUACUUCUAGCUGAUGUGUCCAAGCUACCUCAUCAGGGUGUAGACUAUGCUGACCUCUCUUACUUGAUACCCAUUGGUAUGCUGAGGUUGGAUCUUGUUUCCUACCUGAGCUCUAAAGAUAAGAAAGCUAAUACUUUUAAUAGGGCUGUUGUGCCUCUGAUUAGUUGAAUCUGAUGCUUUCAAAAUCGCUGCUUUUCCCCUGGUGUGGGCAGCACAUGAUUUAUUUUUAAAUGCCAUUCUUUCAGAAUAUUUUCCACAAGUAAAGGGUAUGCUGAGAGAAAAAAAAAUUAAGGCAUUGAUUUAAAAAUAAGUCCUGGUACCUCAGGAAAACGCAAGCACCAAGAUGCAGUGGUUGUUAGAAGUGAAUUGUGAGAGCAUAUAGCUUGGUCUCAGUAACAUGACACACUCAUAUCUGAUGAGACUAGAGGGAGAAAAUAGCACUUCAGGCCCAGAGACAGGUUUAGUUAUGAGUUGAAGGUGAAGUCAGUACUAUUUAAAGUUUCAUUUUAUUUAUAGAACUCACUAGUAAGUGUAGGGUUUCCAAGAAGGUAGAAGACGUGGCUUCUGAUCCAGCACCCUUUCAAAAUAAUAAAUAUGAUGAAGCUAAUGCAAGUAUUAUUAAUACAUAUAUACUGAAACUUAUAGCUGAAUAUACAGAGUAAGUAGGGUACUAAUGAAUUUACCUAAUUGGAAAUCUCAUAUAAAGGAAAAUUUCUAACUAUUCUAUACAAUGUAUGGGACAGUGCCUCAGGGAAAGUAUUGUUGUUGCCUAGAAAUUCCAUUGGACCUCAUAACUAGACCAAGGAAAAGAAGGAAAUCAUCUCUGAAAACCACUGGAGUAGAUUCAGGAAUUACUAGACCAAGGAGGCUGACGAGAGGGAGAUAAGAGUAUCUAGAAAAUGUUGCUAAAACAGUCUGUUCCCCCGUAACACUCAUAGACCCAACCCCUACCUGAAUCCCUGCCUUACAUCAAGUCUUCUUCUCAAUCUGUUAGGAACCUUCUUUCUAUGAUAUUAUAAUGCAAUUGCUCUGUGAUUUGAUAAUAGAAGUUAAGCCUAUACAUUUUCAUAAUCACCUUCUCUAGAAUACAUCCAUUAUGCAAAGGAAGGAAACUUGUAUGGCAAUAAUGAUGAUGUUUUAUUUUAGGUGUACUAAGCUUUCGCUUAUAUUAUCUCAUUUGGUCCUCACAAUAAACCUCUGAGGUAGGUGCUAUCAAUUUUAGAGGUGAGGAAAAGGGAGUCCUAGAAAAAUUUCAUAACAUUUUAUUUAGAGUUUCUCUGUCUCUUUCUCUCCCUCUCUCUCUCUCUCACACACACAGAGUAAUAGAAAGAUGAUAGAUUAAAAAAAAAAAAAAA